UCCCAGACUCCUACGGGAGGCAGCAGUGGGGAAUAUUGGGCAAUGGGCGCAAGCCUGACCCAGCAACGCCGCGUGAAGGAAGAAGGCUUUCGGGUUGUAAACUUCUUUUCUCAGGGACGAAGCAAGUGACGGUACCUGAGGAAUAAGCCACGGCUAACUACGUGCCAGCAGCCGCGGUAAUACGUAGGUGGCAAGCGUUAUCCGGAUUUACUGGGUGUAAAGGGAGCGUAGACGGCGGUGCAAGCCAGAUGUGAAAGCCCGGGGCUCAACCCCGGGACUGCAUUUGAAACUGUCAGUCUUGAGUACCGGAGAGGUCAUCGGAAUUCCUUGUGUAGCGGUGAAAUGCGUAGAUAUAAGGAAGAACACCAGUGGCGAAGGCGGAUGACUGGACGGCAACUGACGGUGAGGCGCGAAAGCGUGGGGAGCAAACAGGAUUAGAUACCCGCGUAUG
rnacentral:rRNA from 1 species